GAUGAACGCUGGCGGCGUGCCUAAUACAUGCAAGUCGAGCGGACGGACGAGAAGCUUGCUUCUCUGAUGUUAGCGGCGGACGGGUGAGUAACACGUGGAUCACCUACCUAUAAGACUGGGAUAACUUCGGGACACCGUAGCUAAUCCCGGAUAAUAUUUUGCACCGCGUGGUUCAUAAGUGAAAGACGGUCUUUCUGUAACUUCUCGCUGGAUCCGCGCUGCAUUGGCUAGUUGGUAAGGUAACGGCUUACCAAGGCAACGAUGCAUAGCCGACGUGUGAGAGUGAUCGGCCACACUGGAACGGAGACACGGACCAGACGACUACGGGAGGCAGCAGUAGGGAAUCUGCCGCAGUGGGCGAAAGCCUGACGGAGCAACGGCGCGUGAGUGAUGAAGAUCUUCGGAGCGUAAAACCCUGUUAUUAGGGAAGAACAGAUGUGUAAGUAGCUGUGCACAGCUUGACGGUACCUAAUCAGAAAGCAACGGCUAACUACGUG
rnacentral:rRNA from 1 species